rnacentral:lncRNA from 1 species
CGACCAGACGCGCUGUCCAAGCGCCGCUCACGAGAAAUCUCGCGACAUCGCAGGCUGCUCCCUCCCCGUGUGGCAGAAAUUUGGCAGACUGCAAGAAAUACUUGUCUUCAGUACCAAAUUUAUAUUUAUGGGUUGACUGCCAGGUGCCACUGCUUAAGGUGCUGGGGAUACAAAGGACUUAUUUAGCAACAUCAAUGAUACACAGAAUAAAUUCAACUGAAUUUAAGAAUGGAGUAUGAAGUAGCAAGUGCUAGGAACAAAAAUGAAUCAUAUAAGUUAAACAUUUAUUUGGAGAUGAAUUUAUACCGACU